GACAGAGGGUGCAAACGUUGCUCGGAAUCACUGGGCGUAAAGGGCGUGUAGGCGGGAAGGAAAGUCGGGCGUGAAAUCCCUGGGCUCAACCCAGGAACUGCACUCGAAACUUCUUUUCUUGAGUGCCGGAGAGGAAAGCGGAAUUCCUGGUGUAGAGGUGAAAUUCGUAGAUAUCAGGAGGAACACCAGUGGCGAAGGCGGCUUUCUGGACGGUAACUGGACGCU
rnacentral:rRNA from 1 species